GCAACCAUUGCCCUUUCCAUUAAUUUCAAAACCUUUCUUUAACAACAAAGAAAUGGAAAUUACAUUUCUAAUAAUUUUGGGCAUAUAAUAACAAUCUUCUAAUUGUAGGAGCUUUUCCAAAGGCAAUUCCAAGUUGUAGGUUCCAACAGCUUCAGCCUGGAUGGACCCUCCUCCAGCGCCAUACAGCUCGAAAUCACCUUUCUUCAAAAUUUUAAUUUUCUGUAGUCCAUGCAAAGAUUUGCAAAUGUGAAAACCACAGAAUUUGAAUUUGAAGAACUUAAUGACAAGUUGGCAUGUAACAUAAACAUACCUUUUGAUGCAACUCUUGCAUCGGUCUUCAUACUUGCAAGAAAACUCUUGCAAUUCCUUUUCCAGUGGCCAGCUUUGCCGCAAUGAAAACAGGUACUUGAUCCGGAGUUUUUCUUUCCUUUUUUCCUUUUGAUGCUACUCUUGGGGUUCAAUCGUUUCUUAGAACCCUUAUUUCCCA
rnacentral:lncRNA from 1 species